rnacentral:lncRNA from 1 species
AUAAUGUACACAUUUCCCAGGAGGACACUCUUGUUGGGCCACCGGCUGCCAAGUUAUUGUGGCGAGGGUUUUUUGUUGGUUUUUUUAAUUCCUCCAGCUCCGGCAGCUUUCCUUUGUUUUCUUUUGGCUCUUUCUCUCCUCUCUUCGCCUUCAUUUAUCCCCCCUCCUCCAAGAGAAGCAACACCCCCAUCGCUGUUUGAGGAGGAGGAUGAGAGAUGUGGGCAGACACCUUGCAAAUUAAAUAUUGAUCUCGUAAACCUGCUGGUUAAUUCAUCCUGCAGAAUGCAACAGGGAAGUCGUGAAGGGACUGCACUGCUUCAGAUGGCAGUGUGAUUCAUAUUACAGCAAUAGUCUUUGCUGUUAGGAUGUAUGGUUGUGAAAGCUGAACACUGAGAAAGCUGAACGCUUAGAAUUAUGGCUCUGGUCAUGGUUACUAAAAAUACCAUAGAUUGUGAAAAAACAGAUCAGUCCUGGAUCAAAGAAUGCCUGACUCCUGCCUUGAGGCAACGAUUGACAAGGAUAAAUUCAGAUACUUUGAGUAUGCAAUGCAAACAUGCGAAGGGCUAGAAAGAAAGCGUUAGCCUGGGCAAGGUAACAGGAACCAGAAGAAGAGGAAGUCAAUGGAUGCCAUGGAUGAAUGGAACCAAACUACUGGAAAGAUAUUUCUAGAAACAGGUUGAAAUGAUGAGNAUUUGUUUAUGUAGCCACCAACAGUUGACCAUGAUUCAAUGGCACCUAACAACAAAAACAGGAUUCCCUUUUAUCCACGUUUAACACGCUAGCUACUGCGGACUAGAUGAGCUCAAUUAAGGAAACGUUCAUUUUUAUGAACCAGUAACCCAAGGUUCCNAAGCAGGGAACCAAGGAGCCACAAAGACCAAUCCAUGAAAAGUUUCUCCCCUACUAUUUUUUUCACUGGAGUUUGUGCAAGAUCCCUUACGUCUCCCCUGCCAAAACAAAUGGGACUUGGAGGACACAGUCAUUACAGUGCCUCUGCAGAGACAGCAGAGUUCUGCAGGGACCACAAAACCCCAGUUGAUAAAUGCUGACCUUUGCAAGGCUUCCGCUGUGUUUAAUUUUACGAAGGAUCUAGUAAAACCUGAUUGAUUCAUUCAUUAGCUAAUGUUCGUACAACUCUCUGAGAAUGUCGAGGGCCAUAGAACCAUUAACUGUUGUUAUUGAUCGGUCCCCUGCUCCAGAUUGCACUGGCCCCAUAAACACAAGAACAAGGGGUCAUUCUGCAGAGUUAAUGGGGGGUGAACUGAAACAAGCAAUCAGGUUUCCGUGGCCCGAGAAACUAACAGUGCCUAGGCACGUCUCAGGCACAGCAACU